GACGAACGCUGGCGGCGUGCUUAACACAUGCAAGUCGAACGGUGAAGCGCCUUCCUUUUUGGUGGGUGUGGAUGAGUGGCCAACUGGUGAGUAACACGUGAGUAACCUUCCCCCUUCUUCUGGAUAACCGCAUGAAAGUGCGGCUAAUACGGGAUAUUCUGGGUCUGUCGCAUGAUGGGUCUGGGAAAGAUUUUGUUUCGGUGGGGGAUGGGCUCGCGGCUUAUCAGCUUGUUGGUGGGGUGAUGGCCUACCAAGGCGGUGACGGGUAGCCGGCCUGAGAGGAUGGACGGCACUAGUGGGACUGAGAGACGGACCAGCCUACGAGAGGAAGCAGUAGGGGGGAAUAUGGCACAGGGGGCAGCAUGCUGGAGCAGCGACGCGUGGGGGGUGAUGGACGCCUUCGGGUUGUACACUUCUUUCGGGAGUGAAGCAAGGUUUCCGCAUUUGUGGACAGGUUGACGGUAGCUAGAUAGAAAGCGACGGCUAACUACGUG
rnacentral:rRNA from 1 species